rnacentral:lncRNA from 1 species
UGACAGUGACCCAGACAGACAUGAGGGAACCCAGGAAGUCACAGAACUGCAGCACGUCAUAGUCCAUGAUGCAGAACACCACGAUGCCUGGCUGGUCACAGGCAUGAUAAAACUGGGGCCACAGAGGGAACGGGUGGAGAAGAACAUCGUGAAGAUGUAGACAGCAGCUUCCAGGAGGUAGUGACUGCGCACAGCGAUGGCCACGGGAGGCACAAACAUGACAUUGCUGAGGCAGAGCAGCAGAGUGGAGAGAAGCUGGAAACCAUAGGUGAAUGCCUCGGCAUUGUCAGUGCAGCCCCAGCCAUUCCAUCCUGCAAGAGAGAGGAAGCUCCAUCCAGUACCCAUUGGAUUGCUGGGACAGGAGGACUGACAGAGUGCCUACAAAAGAUCUUACCAGCUUUGCACUCGCAGGCUGCAUACAAAUAAUUGUUGGUACGCAGCAGCUUGCACUGCCCAUAGAUGCCACAGUCGUUGAUGCAGGGUGAGAGGUAGACGCGCAGGUAGACCUCAGCUGUCACAUUGGUGCAAGGCUCAAACCUACCCCAUGGGGGAACAAGGUCAAACACCCGAAUGUGUAUGCACUGAGCAUGAGCACAGCCCCCAGAUGCACACAAGCCAACAGCUGCUUCCCAACUCAGAGCUUCAGAGCAGAGCUGCAGGAGCCCACCAACAGGAUUGGUGCAGUGACACCCAGCUCUGCCAGGACAGUGAGGCUGGGAUACACUGGGAUGCACUGGGAUGCAGUGACACAUAGUGGGCAUUCUGGGAUCUUACCCAUGCUCUGUGGCACAGAGGGAGCGCAGGCUCAGGUACCAGCUGCCCGUCUGGGGGUAGGGGAUGCGCAGGCGGCUCAGGCUGGCCGUGGCAUUGACAGAGAGCAGGAAGCCUGCCAGGGACUCU